rnacentral:pre_miRNA from 1 species
CUACUACUCCCUCCGUCCGAAAAUACUUGUCAUUGAAAUGGAUGUAUCUAUAUGUAUUUUAGUUCUAGACACAUCCAUUUUGAUGACAAGUAAUUCUGGACGGAGGGAGUAUUAU